AUACGAUCAAUGGUGGAAGCGUCGGGAAAGGACAUUGAGUUUGAACCUUUAGAUCGAAUUAUUUUCAUGUUACUGAUACAGCAUAUACAAGAUCGUAGGAGUUCAUUUGAAAGACGUGUACAACGUUACGGAACCUCAAAUUAUAUGGAGACAUUCCCACAACACAAUGCCGCAACGUUAACGACACGAAAAGUUUGGGGGGUAUCGAGAAAUACAUUUUAGUUAUUCGGAUGCAACGGAAGGCAAUAUAUUGAUACAAAACGUACUUAACCUAUAGUAUCAUCAUUGGAUAUGAAGUUGGAAAUUAUAAUACAGUAGCACCACAAGUGAACGAGAAAGUAAAUAGCACAUGCGACGUUUUGAAAAUUGAUGGCACAAUACAGUAUUAAGCAUUAAAGGUCAGAACCCAGUUAAACUCAUUCCGGAACCGGUUCGGAUUUCUGAAUGGAGUCAUGGAUUCCAAAUCAAAUGCAACAACCGAUUCCGAUUCGAUCGGUUUCCAUACUGACUCCAUUCAGGAUUCCGAAUGGUUUGACCGGGAAGAUGUGAUUCACAGUCUGUUUUGGUGUUCGAAAUCUUACAUCACUGCUUGUGAGAAUUUAAAUGUUCGCUUUUGUUUCUCAAGCGUCAACGAGAUUGGAUUCAGUUCAGAUACGGUAGCUGAAAUGUAUCAAAUAAGGAGCCACUCUACAUUAAUUUAC